CCUACGGGGCGCAGCAGUGAGGAAUAUUGGUCAAUGGACGAGAGUCUGAACCAGCCAAGUAGCGUGAAGGAUGACUGCCCUAUGGGUUGUAAACUUCUUUUAUAGGGGAAUAAAACCCGGCACGUGUCCCUUUUUGCGUGUAUUUUAUGAAUAAGGAUCGGCUAACUCCGUGCCAGCAGCCGCGGUAAUACGGAGGGUGCGAGCGUUAUUCGGAUUUACUGGGCUUAAAGCGUUCGUAGGCGGUCUGUCACGUCAGCG
rnacentral:rRNA from 1 species